rnacentral:lncRNA from 1 species
UCCGAACUAGAAUACUGUUGUGUGGUAUACAAUACCAUCAUAUUAAUGAAGGGAAUCAUCAGUUGAACAGUAAUAGAGGGAACUCGUUCUCUUUGUUUUAAUGCACAAGUCUGAAAAAGCAAUCUGAUAGUGUUCAGAUAGUAGGGGAAGGACCCCUUUCAUUCAAUGAAGAGUAAUGUCUAACCAAUUUCGGCAAUAGCUUCAACUCCUUGUCAUUUUACAAAACAAGAGGUGCUCCUAUCCACUCAAAACUCCAUGUUUUUCUCAGAAUUUGUCUACUGGAUUCAUGGUAAUUAUUGAUCUUUCACUUCUCUUUUAUAUUACACCACAAGGGAUGGUUUGGUAUUCGGAAAAAUAUGAAAUUACCUAUGCUAUACUCCUUCCGUUUUAAGUGAACCGAUUUCCUUUUCAGUUCUGCCAAAAAAAUGGUUCCUUUCCAUAUUUAAAAAUAAUUCAACUUUAUGCAAUUAUUUAUAGUCACACAAAAUAUAUGUGAUUUAUUUUACACCAUAAAUUUAUAAAUCUUCUUUUUUUAAAACUUGUGUCCAGUCAAAUAAAUUUACAUAAAUUGAAACAUAUGGAGUAUAUAAUUUGUCUUCGAACCAAAUGCCCCCUAAAUGUCAUCUUUCUGCUGAAUGCCAAACACAAUUAUAAGGUAUUAUUCUACCCAAAGUAAUCGAACCGACAGAAAAAAUUUGUCAUGUGGCGGAGCAAUCUUAGCUAGCGUUUGGAUAUAUAUUUGUUUGAAAUUUAAAAAAUUUAAAUUUUUGAAGAUGAGAUGAAAAUUAAUUUUUGAAAGUUAAAAUUAUGUUUGGACAUGCAUUUACUUUAAAAGAAUUUGAAGUUUUGUGAGCAAAAAACUUCAAAAACUAUUCUCGAAUUGUUUUUGGGAUUUAAAAAUUAUGUUUUCAAAAUCUGCCAAAAAAUAGUUAAAAUCUAUAAACAAAUGAAUAUUUGAAAAUAAAAUUUAUAAAAAAAGCUCCCAAAUUUUAUGGCUAAACGGGUGCUUAGUUAAGGGUGUCAAUUGACACUUCUUUAUCAAACAAUAUAUUGUGUAACUAUGUCAUAUUGUUUAUGUAUAUAACUUUGAAUCCUCUUAAUUUUUCGUGUAUUUAUUUUUUUAUAUUAACACUCUUAGUAAAAUUUCUGACUCGUGACUGAAUCCAACCAUGAUCAAUAGUGAAGACUUGGUGGAGACUAUCUUUCAAAGAAGAAGAUGAAGAACAACAAAACUACGUAUUUUUGGCGCAACACCUUUUUUUUCCCUUUUUCUUUUGGUGCAACUCUAGCUACAACAAACUCAUACUAUGACUAGGAUGGAUGGAUAUCGCCCGCAAUAUUGGACUUCCGUAUCGCCUUUUCCACUAGGAAUUGUUAAUUCAUUAUUGGAAAUGAUUUGAUGUUUAAUAUGUCACAUAAGAUUAGUCUCAAAACUGUGCUCUAUUUAAGUUUAGAGUUCAAUCUUA